AGUGAACGCUGGCGGUAGGCCUAACACAUGCCAGUCGAACGGCAGCACAGUAAGAGCUUGCUCUUACGGGUGGCGAGUGGCGGACGGGUGAGGAAUACAUCGGAAUCUACUUUUUCGUGGGGGAUAACGUAGGGAAACUUACGCUAAUACCGCAUACGACCUACGGGUGAAAGCAGGGGAUCUUCGGACCUUGCGCGAUUGAAUGAGCCGAUGUCGGACUAGCUAGUUGGCGGGGUAAAGGCCCACCAAGGCGACGAUCCGUAGCUGGUCUGAGAGGAGGGUCAGCCACACUGGAACUGAGACACGGUCCAGACUCCUACGGGAGGCAGCAGUGGGGAAUAUUGGACAAUGGGCGCAAGCCUGAUCCAGCCAUACCGCGUGGGUGAAGAAGGCCUUCGGGUUGUAAAGCCCUUUUGUUGGGAAAGAAAAGCAGCAGGUUAAUACCCCGCUGUUCUGACGGUACCCAAAGAAUAAGCACCGGCUAACUUCGUG
rnacentral:rRNA from 1 species